CAUAUCAAUAAGCGGAGGAAAAGAAACCAACAGGGAUUGCCUCAGUAACGGCGAGUGAAGCGGCAACAGCUCAAAUUUGAAAUCUGGCCUCACGGUCCGAGUUGUAAUUUGUAGAGGAUGCUUUUGGCGAGGUGCUUUCCGAGUUCCCUGGAACGGGACGCCAUAGAGGGUGAGAGCCCCGUACGGUAAGACCACCGAGCCUCUGUAAAGCUCCUUCGACGAGUCGAGUAGUUUGGGAAUGCUGCUCUAAAUGGGAGGUGUACGUCUUCUAAAGCUAAAUACCGGCCAGAGACCGAUAGCGCACAAGUAGAGUGAUCGAAAGAUGAAAAGCACUUUGAAAAGAGGGUUAAAAAGUACGUGAAAUUGUUGAAAGGGAAGCAUUCAUGACCAGACUUGGGCUUGGUUGAACAUCCGGCGUUCUCGCCGGUGCACUCUGCCAGUCCAGGCCAGCAUCAGUUUGCCCCGGGGGACAAAGGCGGUGGGAAUGUGGCUCCCUUCGGGGAGUGUUAUAGCCCGCCGUGUAAUGCCCUGGGGCGGACUGAGGAACGCGCUUCGGCACGGAUGCUGGCGUAAUGGUCAUCAAUGAC
rnacentral:rRNA from 1 species